rnacentral:lncRNA from 1 species
UGAAAUUUCAAAAAAACGGCGAAAGAGAAAAAAUUCUACAGAAAAAUCCAGCGGAGAAGGGGAGCUGUCCGCGCGAGAUGCCUGCCCAAUUUGUGCACGCGCGUGCACACAGCAUGUGCGGGACAUGCAUACAGAGCACAUAUCCCAUUCGUGCGCACGACGCAGGGUUAGACCCUGCGCGGGUCCUGUCACACACAGUCGGGUCCUCCGUGUGUCACCUCACGUGCAUAUAGGCGCCACACAUUAUGCACGCACUGUCCACGCAGCAAGCUUGCGUGGUUAAGCCCCUGUGCGCCUGGGGCCUGCGUGUAGCAGGCCUGCGCGCUCAGCGCACAGCGAACCUAGGCCCUACACGCGCAAUAGUAGAGCUGUGCGCUUGCAGGCUAACCUGCAGUACGCCAAAAGAGCACUGCCACCUUGAGCAAUGUGCCGCUGUCACCUCGGGCAAUGUGCCAUCAUCGCCUUAGGCAGCAGGCCA